AUUUGUUUACAAGUUUCGAAAAAGAGACGAAGUUCGUUCUUGAGAUUACAAAAAAAAACGUAUCUAGUCGCGAAUCUUGGAAUCGCUUAAAACACACUCCAUGCUGUUUUGCAGAUUUUAUGACCUGAGCCAGCCAUCACAACCAAAUGAUAUGCCAGUUUCGCUUGUGCUGGUAUUGACCAGCCAUCAGCAACAAUCUGAGGAGUGAGGACCAUCACUUAGAUAAACAGCAUCCCGUUUGAUUGGAGAAACUACUGAUGCCGGUCGAUUUACGUAUCUCUUCUUCCCCUUUCUUUAAAUCCACUCUGUCCUCGCGUACACCCAUGCGAGUGUGUGUUCACAAGGACGCCCUUUCAACUUUUCUACGGAUGCUGGAGCAUUUGAUACCUGGCUGUAUUUCCCAGGCUUUAAGGUAGGAAAAAUGUAUCUUUAUUCUUCCUUUUUUUCUAUUUGGUGGCGUUGAUUAUUUCAGAUUUAAAAUUAAAAUGAAGUCAACAAGGGAAAUUUGAUGAUUUUUACUUAUUAUUUAGUUGGUAAAAACAAUCACCAACGAUUUGUGCUAAAAGAGAUUUUCAAUGUACUUUUCAACAGAGUAACAAAGCAAUUAACCUAUGAACAAUUUCAUUGACAAGAAGGAACAUUAUCAAGGUAGUCACAGACUUGUAAGUCCGGAUUGUAGUAAAGGCCAGGCGGGCAAUUCUAAUGAAAACAAGAGUAGUAUUAUUCAUAUUAUUAGACGGCACUCAUAUUUUAGAAGAAAUUGAAGACUUACCAUUAAAUGUGCUUGACCGGCUGCGCAUUCGUAAAAUGUUUUGCAGUCAUUGGGAUUCGGAUAUUUUCCGAAGAGAUCGUUAGGGCAAGUAAAUGAUUCUGGAGAAGAGGUGGUGGUGGAUGUUGUGGUGACAGGCGUGAUUGUUGUUGUUUUGAGUAUUGUUGUAGUAGGAACAGUUGUUGAAAUAGUUGUAGUAGGAAUAGUGGUUGCGAUAGUUGUAGUGCUAACUGUCGUUUUAACGGUUGUUGUAACUGCAAUCAAAAGAGUUUCAUAUUCAUACAAUUUUAUAACAUUGAAGUUUAAGUCUUUUUAACAGCGAUAAUAUAAACGUAUAAGACCACUAAUCUAUAGUUAAUCUAUGGUAAAUACUGAUAAAAACAUUCAUGGCCGUUAUGAUCAACAAGAUAACACAAAUGUAGCAUAAAAUAUGAUGAGAAAAAACUUUGAUCGUUCACUUCCCACUGGCCUUUUAGCAGACACACAGCACAGACUAAUGCAGCUUACAUAGAAAAGUCUCAGAUUAAUUAGUGCAUCAUAAAAUGAAGUUAUGAUGUUAUUAUGUUAUCGUUAUGAUAGUUUGUGUAAUGUAAAACCUCGAAGCCUUACGGUUUCAUCUUUUAACUUUAUUUUUUUAAAGAAUAGAUUUUUUUAAAAGUAAAUUAUUUCUCAAAAAAUAAGCUAAUUAUAGGUUAUAUUGCAUACGAAAUUUCACGAUUAACAAAUUUGUGUGUCCCCAUCCCAGUCGUGGUCCGAAAGCUGUGUUAAAUUUACAUCCAAGCAGGAUUAGGCUAUAUACCUGCAAGGCAAAGGGCCGAAUAGUCGUUGCAGCAAUUGCCAUAGGAUGGACAGUCAACAUUGCAUUGGCAUGGCCACUUGUUAUUAUAUGCAGCAGAGCAGCGUCCCUGGCAAGAAUUGCAGAUAUCGUUGAAAUCACUGCAACAGUCUCCAUACGUCUGACAGGAUAGAUUGCAUUGGCAAGGCUUAGUGGAGUCCGUUCCGGACUGGCCACAUCUUCCAGCGCAAGAUCCAGCUCCGCCGCCAGGGGUAGUUGUCUUAAUGGUUGUACCUGUGCCUGUUUAAAAAGAAUUGAAUUGCCUUAAGCAAAAUAGGCAAUAAAGUCGAUAAAAACACGAUUGGGUUUUAACCGCUCACGUCCCUAUCAGCAGAUAAAAACCCCAAGGUAACAGCCGUCUCGUAAAUAGAACAUUUCAGUACAAAUAAAGGGAAUGCUAAAUUAUUUCUCGCUUAAUUGUUUUAAGCCUAACUUUCCAUUUGCAGUCCUUGAAAUGUCUUUAUCAUGUUUCAUUUGACUCGUGAUUACCUGUUGGACCAACUCCGCCGCAUAGAUACGCGUAAUCGGGGCAGCAAUCGUUGCUGUCUGCGCAUUCAGCGGUACACUGACACGGCCAACUAGGAUCGUUUCCAGCAGUGCAGCGUCCCCAAGUAGCGCAUGUGUUGCACGUGGAUAUAAAGUCCGAGCAACAGUCACCUGUAGAGUCACGUUAACAAUAGGAAAUAUUAUAAGGAAUGCACGUAGAACCAUCGUUAAUAAAAUGAACCAACCAGCUGUCUGACAGGAUGGAUUACACUGACAGGUCAUAGCGGGAUCAGUUUCCGACUGGCCGCAUCUGCCGACACAAGAAUCGGCUAUUUUGCUCGACAUCAAAACUGAUAGGGAACAUUUUGGAUUAAGUCAUUAUACCGCUGAUUGUAGAUAUGCAAAUUAUGCUAAUUAGUAAUUACGUUCGCGGAAGCUACUUCUCUUGGCCUCAAUUUGUACAGCGACAUUCAUCAAUCCAAAAAUGGCAAUAAAAAUUAAAACUUUCAUGAUGAACGCGUAUUAAUUCUUGAAAAGAAAAAGAGCUAAGCCUAUCAUAGUAAAAAAGAAAAAAAGGUAGAGAAAUUAAUUUAAAAAUCUAGAUACUAAUAUACGUAAACAGAACAUACACUUACAAGCCACUGGAAAUUGCAUACGACGAAUAUCGUUAAGUUUAACCGACUGUCAGACUUCUCAGUUUUAUACAUAGCCGAGGCGUGGUGAUGGGUAUUGCGUAGAGGCGUGGUUAUUUCCAAAUACAUAUUAAGAGUGCAAUGGUUGAUCAGUUGACUAUAGCAGAGUGAUUACGUUUCCUUGCAGCCAAGCUCGACUUUGAAACCGACCCGAUUUUGUCGAUAGACUAAUCGAUUGGUGUAGUCGAUACUGCCCUCAUUGCCACUUAUUGUACAGUACAAAGAAUCAAUUCCCAUAGGCCUCAAUCAUCCAAGGUGUUCGUAAAUGAGCCUGUCUUCAGAUUUACAUCUUGUAAGAAGCAAGGGAAAAGAAAAGUUUCUUUUAACUUUCGUAUUAAUUCUUAUGCAAACAACUGUUUCUAUCUUGAACAUUAGAAAAGCGAUCUGUUCUCUGUUUUUAUAAAAACCGUAUGUCUAUUUAUUGGCAAAAUACCGCUGAAUGAUUUUUAAAUUGUGUAAUUAGCUUUUAAAUAUAUGAGUAAGAAACCAGAAAUGAAAAAUUCGUGUGCAUGUAUUUAAAGCAUUUGAUGAAAGUACUUAAAAUAUUUCAGAGGAUUCACAUAUUUUUAUCCGGCGGGACAAUUUUAGUUUGACUAGAUGACUUUUUUUAUUGGCACGAUGGAACAUUAUCGAGGUAAUCGCAGACUUGUAAAUCCGGAUUGUAGUAAAGGCCAGGUGGGCAGUUCUAAAUAGAUCAAUAAUAUUAGGAUUAUACCCUAUGGAAAUUGUAAAAAGGAUUCAAAAGUAAACAAAUAUGUUUAAACACGAAAACUUACUACAAGAUACGCCACUCCGGCUACACAUUCGUAAAAAGAUUGACAGUCGUCGGGGUUUGGAUGUUUGGCGGUGUAAUCAUCAGGGCAGGAAAAUGGUGUGGUUGGAAUGGGGGUAGUUGUGGUUGUCAAAUCUGGAACUGUAACUGUGGUCUUCACGGUUGUUGUGACUGCGACAAUAGGAUAUUUAAUAUUUAGACUUUUGACAUCCGCUGACAACAAACUUAUUGUAUAAAAGUGGUAAGUACAAAGUUACCUCCUUGGCAUAGAGCCGGAUAGUCGGAGCAACAGUUGCCGUAGGAUGGGCAGUCAACAUUGCAUUGGCAUGGCCACUUGUUAUCAUAAGCAGCAGAACAGCGUCCGUCGCAAGAAUUGCAGAGAGUGAGGUAGUCGUCGCAACAGUCGCCGUACGUCUGACAGGAUAGAUUGCACUGGCAAGGCUUAGUGGAGUCGGUUCCGGACUGACCGCAUCUUCCAGCGCAAGAGCCUGCCUUGUUCGAUAUCACUGAUGCAAAAAAAAAAAAAAAAAAAAUCAGAUUAAUUGUUAAUUUUUCAAUUUCAAUGUCGCUAAUUUUCCGAUGAUAAUUUACGUUCGCGGAAGCUGUUGCUGGAUUUGGCUUCAACCAGCAGAGCGCAACUCAUCAAUCCACAGACGACAACAAAUGGCAAUGUCAAUUUCAUGGUGAUUGUGAUUGAAUCUUGAAAAUAAUAAUUGAAAAAAAACUAUUAGCACAUAAGAAAUAAAGGUACAACAAAUCUAUGGGUCUACCUUGGUGCACAGGUACUGCUGUGAAUAUCUAAUUGAAUCGACCGUCAAGAUAUUUGGGUUUUAUAGUCGUCCGCACAUGAUGCUUUGCUAAGAGCUAGAGGCGGGGUUAUUUCAAAUUUUAUAGAAGAUCGAUUAACGAAACAUGGUUUAGAGGUAAAGAAUCUUGUUUGCCACCAACCUUUGACUUUGAAACGGAUCAAGUAUUCGACUCCAAAUCACGGAGACUAAUCUUGCGGGUUUUUUUGUUUUUAGAAUUAUCUCUCAAAAAUGGAUGCCGUUCUGUGGCCAUCACCGGCCAUCACGUUUUCGUGCACGUAUUUUACAUUUUGUGCAGCUAUUAUAUUGAUAUUAUCGCAAAGAGCGUAAGCCUAGAAAUUUGAAAUCUCGUAGACUCAAUCAACUUAUUUGUUUAGUAGACGAAGGUCAAAGAGUGAACGGCUCACCUCGAUUGCGUCAAUUGUGAUGGCUCGUACGAUGUGACGUCCACCAUCUGUCAACCGAGUUCACUUACUAUAAUCUAGGCUAAAUAUCAAACUGUAAAGAUCGAGUAACAAGGUACACAAAUGGCUCCAUUUUGAAGGCCUUGUACAUAUCGGCUCCCGUUACUACCGCAUACGUCAAUAUUCACAAUACGUUUAAAACAACAAUACCUCUGAGAAGAUAAUGCUGAAGUAACAUAUUGCGUUUCUAUUAGCUUUAUGGAUAACGACGUAUCCUGGCACUAUUAUUUAUGGGAGGUGUCGUUGGUACUUAAAAAAACAAAUCAUUCAAGCUGAUUUCAGCGAAAGAGGAAAUCACUAACGUGUGGAUGAGAAUGCCUUUUCAUCUACUGCAUUAUUAAGUUUGUUGACCUUCCAUACAAGAGUGCAACUCGUCCAAUCUAUGAAGUAAUGCCCAGUCCAAAAUCAUUAAAAAUAAACUUUGUAGUGUGGGAAAUAAAAUCAACCUUGCAUGGAACUUUGCCGCCUUAUUGUGAUAAGUGUUACUUAUUAAACCAUCAAAUAAGCUUGAAAGCUUACGACCAAAUAUUACGAAACAAGUGCCCUUGUGGCUAACCCAAGUGCCAUCUACGCUGAUAUAAUGGAAUGGAAAUUAGAUCCUUAAUUGGUCAGCUAGGUCUUUAUCUAAGCCAUAUCAAUCAUAUUAAACGUUACCCAUCGCAUCAUCACGUGAUUGUAUCUAGUGUCUAGUUUGUCAGUUGGUUCAGUUUUUUCCGCUUCUGUAACUCUCCUGAAUAAACAAAAUGAAAUAAUG